rnacentral:misc_RNA from 1 species
GAUGAAGAACGCAGCGAAAUGUGAUACUUGGUGUGAAUUGCAGAAUCCCGCGAAUCAUCGAGUUUUUGAACGCAAGUUGCGCCCGAAGCCAUUCGGCCGAGGGCACGUCUGCCUGGGUGUCACGCAUCGUUGCCCCCCCAAACUCCGGUUCGGGCGGGGCGGAAGUUGGCCUCCCGUGCGUGCCUGCGCGCGCGGUUAGCCCAAAAGCGAGUCCUCGGCGAUGAGCGCCACGACAAUCGGUGGUUUUUUUACCCUCGUUCCUCGUCGUGCGUGCCCCGUCGCCCGAACGCGCUCUUGCAACCCUUACGCGUCGCCUCGGUGGCGCUCCCAACGCGACCCCAGGUCAGGCGGGACUACCCGCUGAGUUUAAGCAUAUCAAUAAGCGGAGGA